AUUAAAGAGCGCUGAGCCGAGGAGGUGCUUGUGGAGACAGAGGCAGAGGGGAGGCCGGAGCAGGUGCUGUUUGCAGAAGAGGCUGGUAUAUUGUCCCUGGGUCAGUGAAGGAGCCACGGUUGGUAAAAAUCUACAUAACAUUGCCAUCUGUUAAACUUCAAACUGCUCAAACACAACACACACACACACACACACACACACACACACACACACACACACACACACACACACACACACACACAAAUGAACACACAGUAUCCUCUAAACAGAGAGCAGUGAAGAAGAGUAGAGAGUCUAUAGAAAUGUAAUGUAUGCUCUUCAGCCCCUCUCCAGCUCCUCUUCCCUCCUUCUUCUUCUUCUCUUCUGUACUGAGAGCAGACAAGAGCUCGGGGUUGAGGCCUCCGCUGGCACCAACGAGGAAGAGAAAGGACUCAGGAACAGAGAGAGGACAGACCCUCUGUGCUGAAAAUCUCUCCCGUCUCUCAAAAAUCAAAUGUGGUCGACGUUUAACGAACAACCCGAGUGAAUUUCAUGCAGAAUAUCAGCGAGCUCUCUGCCUCAGCUAAGCAACCAACUUUCCCCUGUGGCCCACAAACCCCCCCCCCCCACACACACACACAGUCACACGCACACACACACACACACAGUCUCACACACACACACACACACACACACACACACACACACACAAACACACACACACACACACAGGUCCCUCUGAAGGAGCAGGCGGAGCCGGCAGUUGCACAUCUGCAUUUCAAACACAGACUCUCUGGGAUUCAUUAUUAAUUAGCCUGCUGAGCCCUGGAGGACUGGUGAUGCUGCCGUCACGCACACCCAAACCCACACCCACACAUACGCACGCGCACACACACACACACACACACACACACACACACACACACACACACACACACACACACACACACACACACACACACACCUUGUGACCCCUUUGCCCCCUCUGCUCAACAGUUAGAGAGUCCUCACCAGAAUACUGAGCCUUACAGGAGAGUCCCUCCCUCCAAUCACACUUCCCCUGAUUUCCCGGCUUAAUGUUUGGCAAAGUAUGAUGAAUUACAGGAGUAGAUGGUUUUAUUAAGCUGAGCGCAGUGUUACUGUGUUUAAAAUACCAUAUUCAAAUGAGUUGUUUAGCACAGCACAGUGCUAAAUGACAUAUGUGAGAUGAUGAGAGAAGCCUGAAUAGCUGUACUGGUUCUUAUAUCACAUCAAUAAACAUAACAAAACUCC